ensembl:lncRNA
AUGUGAGUCCACACUGUAUUAAAAUAGCUUGAAGUAUUCUGUAUCAUGUCAUGUUAAAUCUCCAUUCAGAAUUAGAUUAGUCUUAAAAGUUAACUUUGUCAGUUAUAUAAAAACAUAUAAUCUAAUAGUCUAAUCUGAUUCCAAAAAAUAUGCCUUGACUAAUUGAUCAGACUAGCUUAUGAAACUGGCCUCUCAUCUAAAAAUCAUUUAAUAAAAGGAAUUAAAUUUUUACACUGCAGGAUAUUUAAAAAUGAAAUGGUAAAGAUAAACAUUGAUUUAACAAAAGAAAAGUUUUUGCUAGUUACAGCAGAUAACAACAUGUUUUCCCUCAUUGAAAUUUUGACAUUUUAAUCUGAAAUCUUGAUGUUGAGAAGAAAUGUUGGUAUCCGUUUAUCACCUACCAAUAUAUUUUUCAGUUUAAAUGUUGUUCAAAGAUUCUUUUUAUUUUGUUAAUCCUUAUGGUUUUGGUUUUAAACAGGAAGUUCAGACCAUUCUGCACAGUUUCCCAGCGAUGAGUUUCUGAGGGAAAUUUGGCCCUUUUGAGCCCCUCAUUCCUCGGCAAUCUGGUAGAAGCAAGGAUGUAGAUUCCAGCAAGGACAAUUUCAGGAAGAAAGAAGCCACUAGCAGCUGCUGUAAGAUGCAAGCACCACUUACUGCAAGCACACACACAGAGGCCUAACUAAGAAAAGUUCAGGCUAUUGUGAGUGCUGCCACAUGGUCUACAAAGACCAGUAAGAACACUUGCUGUCUGAAAUGCAUCGUUCUUUCAUUCAAAAUGACAGUAACUAUGCUGUAGUAGACCAACUAAUGGCUGCCAUGGUUGCUAGCUUUGUUUGUAAUCCAAAUCUAGAAGUGGAUCCAACACUGAUCAAGUCAUCGACAGGCUUCUUUCAAUUACAGUUGUGUAAUCUAACUGAGAAUACUGUCAGCGAGAAUGAAAAAUCUCUUCAGACUCCACUGGUUCAAGAAUGUGAUCGUCUACUGGCGAUUACUGACAACAGAGGAAACCUCUUUCCUACACGUAUCCUGGUCAACAAA